UACAGAGGUGGCAAGCGUUGUUCGGAAUUACUGGGCGUAAAGCGCACGUAGGCGGCUUUGUAAGUUAGAGGUGAAAGCCCGGGGCUCAACCCCGGAAUUGCCUUUAAGACUGCAUCGCUUGAAUCCGGGAGAGGUGAGUGGAAUUCCGAGUGUAGAGGUGAAAUUCGUAGAUAUUCGGAAGAACACCAGUGGCGAAGGCGGCUCACUGGACCGGCAUUGACGCUGAGGUGCGAAAGCGUGGGGAGCAAACAGG
rnacentral:rRNA from 1 species